rnacentral:rRNA from 1 species
UACGUAGGGCGCAAGCGUUGUCCGGAAUUAUUGGGCGUAAAGAGCUCGUAGGCGGUUUGUCGCGUCUGUCGUGAAAGCCCGGGGCUCAACCCCGGGUCUGCAGUGGGUACGGGCAGACUAGAGUGCAGUAGGGGAGACUGGAAUUCCUGGUGUAGCGGUGAAAUGCGCAGAUAUCAGGAGGAACACCGGUGGCGAAGGCGGGUCUCUGGGCAACAACUGACGCUGAGGAGCGAAAGCGUGGGGAGCGAACAGG